GAAAGUGGCAGUGCCGGCGGGGCAGGUGCUGCCGGCUCCGACGGGUGUCUCUCUCAGGGAUGCCGCUAGCUUUCCGGAGGUCGCAUGUACUGUGUGGUCGACUGUGUUCAUGACGAGCCGGCUGUCGGCCGGGGAGAGCUUCUUGAUUCACGGGGGAUCUAGCGGAAUCGGGACAUUUGCUAUCCAGAUUGCUAAACACAUUGGAGCAAAGGUGUUUGUUACGGCAGGAAGCGAAGAACAUCUAACUGCUUGUAAACAUCUUGGUGCUGAUGUCGGCAUUAAUUACAAGACUGAAGACUUUGCUCUGCGGGUUAAGGAGGAGACAGGCAGCAAGGGAGUUGAUGUUAUCCUGGACAUUAUUGGUGCGC
rnacentral:misc_RNA from 1 species